GUCAGUUUGGAUUGACACAACUGUGUCAAACAGGCCUGUUGUGACUCUGUAUCCAAACUGGUCUGAGAUAUACAGAGGAGAGACGAUCACUGUCAGAUGUGAGAUCCAUGGAGGAGACACUGAGUGGGAUUAUGAGUGGGAAACAAACAGCAUCAUAAAACCUCCAAAUCAAAAUGAAUACAGGAUUAGAUCUGCUUCAUCAUCCAACAGUGGAAACUAUCGCUGUAAGGGCAGAAUGAAAAGUUCACAGCAUAACACAACAGAGUGGAGUGAUUCAGUCACACUGACAGUUUCUGACAAUAAACCCCGUCCUGUCCUCACUGUGUCUCCAUCAUGGCUGAGUCCUGGAGCCUCAGUAACUCUGAACUGUCAGGUUGAACAUCCGUCUGCAGGAUGGAGCUUCUACUGGUAUAAAGCUGUUCCUGAUCUAUCAGAGAAAUCCUCCAGUCAUGAGCUGCUACCUGAUGGCAGUGGGACUGCACAGGACUCCUACAUCAUUCAUGGACAGACACACACAGCA